rnacentral:rRNA from 1 species
AGAGUUUGAUCAUGGCUCAGGACGAACGCUGGCGGCGUGCUUAACACAUGCAAGUCGAACGGAAAGGCCCUGCUUUUGUGGGGUGCUCGAGUGGCGAACGGGUGAGUAACACGUGAGUAACCUGCCCUUGACUUUGGGAUAACUUCAGGAAACUGGGGCUAAUACCGGAUAGGAGCUCCUGCUGCAUGGUGGGGGUUGGAAAGUUUCGGCGGUUGGGGAUGGACUCGCGGCUUAUCAGCUUGUUGGUGGGGUAGUGGCUUACCAAGGCUUUGACGGGUAGCCGGCCUGAGAGGGUGACCGGCCACAUUGGGACUGAGAUACGGCCCAGACUCCUACGGGAGGCAGCAGUGGGGAAUAUUGCACAAUGGGCGGAAGCCUGAUGCAGCAACGCCGCGUGCGGGAUGACGGCCUUCGGGUUGUAAACCGCUUUCGCCUGUGACGAAGCGUGAGUGACGGUAAUGGGUAAAGAAGCACCGGCUAACUACGUGCCAGCAGCCGCGGUGAUACGUAGGGUGCGAGCGUUGUCCGGAUUUAUUGGGCGUAAAGGGCUCGUAGGUGGUUGAUCGCGUCGGAAGUGUAAUCUUGGGGGCUUAACCCUGAGCGUGCUUUCGAUACGGGUUGACUUGAGGAAGGUAGGGGAGAAUGGAAAUUCCUGGUGGAGCGGUGGAAUGCGCAGAUAUCAGGAGGAACACCAGUGGCGAAGGCGGUUCUCUGGGCCUUUCCUGACGCUGAGGAGCGAAAGCGUGGGGAGCGAACAGGCUUAGAUACCCUGGUAGUCCACGCUAUAAACGGUGGGUACUAGGUGUGGGGUCCAUUCCACGG